rnacentral:lncRNA from 1 species
GGCUUCAAGGAACCACUAGCCGUAGGCUGGGCAAGAACGGCCUCAGUUCAGCCGCACUUUAGAGCAGGGUCUGCACUCACCUUCUUCCUUUGGCAGCCCAAUGAAGAGCUUCAACGUCCUCAAGUCUCAUUGCUGCACAAAAGAUGAGGUUAACUGAAAAGAAAAAAAAAGUGCCGAACUAAAAAAAUCAAAAUCCACUUACUCAC